AACGAACGCUGGCGGCAGGCCUAACACAUGCAAGUCGAGCGCACCCUUCGGGGUGAGCGGCGGACGGGUGAGUAACGCGUGGGAACGUGCCCUUCUCUGCGGAAUAGCCCCGGGAAACUGAGAGUAAUACCGCAUACGCCCUUUGGGGGAAAGAUUUAUCGGAGAAGGAUCGGCCCGCGUUGGAUUAGGUAGUUGGUGGGGUAAUGGCCUACCAAGCCGACGAUCCAUAGCUGGUUUGAGAGGAUGAUCAGCCACACUGGGACUGAGACACGGCCCAGACUCCUACGGGAGGCAGCAGUGGGGAAUCUUAGACAAUGGGCGCAACCCUGAUCUAGCCAUGCCGCGUGAGUGAUGAAGGCCUUAGGGUUGUAAAGCUCUUUCAGCUGGGAAGAUAAUGACAGUACCAGCAGAAGAAGCCCCGGCUAACUCCGUG
rnacentral:rRNA from 1 species